rnacentral:rRNA from 1 species
UACGUAGGGUGCAAGCGUUGUCCGGAAUCAUUGGGCGUAAAGAGCGUGUAGGCGGCCCGAUAAGUCCGCCGUGAAAGUCCAGGGCUCAACCCUGGAAUGCCGGUGGAAACUGUCGGGCUUGAGUCCGGAAGAGGCGAGUGGAAUUCCUGGUGUAGCGGUGAAAUGCGCAGAUAUCAGGAGGAACACCAAUGGCGAAGGCAGCUCGCUGGGACGGGACUGACGCUGAGACGCGAAAGCGUGGGGAGCAAACAGG